AGACCCGAAACCCGGUGAUCUAGCCAUGGGCAGGUUGAAGGUUGGGUAACACUAACUGGAGGACCGAACCGACUAAUGUUGAAAAAUUAGCGGAUGACCUGUGGCUGGGGGUGAAAGGCCAAUCAAACCGGGAGAUAGCUGGUUCUCCCCGAAAGCUAUUUAGGUAGCGCCUCGUGAAUUCAUCUCCGGGGGUAGAGCACUGUUUCGGCUAGGGGGCCAUCCCGGCUUACCAACCCGAUGCAAACUGCGAAUACCGGAGAAUGUUAUCACGGGAGACACACGGCGGGUGCUAACGUCCGUCGUGAAGAGGGAAACAACCCAGACCGCCAGCUAAGGUCCCAAAGUCAUGGUUAAGUGGGAAACGAUGUGGGAAGGCCCAGACAGCCAGGAUGUUGGCUUAGAAGCAGCCAUCAUUUAAAGAAAGCGUAAUAGCUCACUGGUCGAGUCGGCCUGCGCGGAAGAUGUAACGGGGCUAAACCAUGCACCGAAGCUGCGGCAGCGAACGUAUCACCCAAGACAACUUUACGG
rnacentral:rRNA from 7 species